rnacentral:pre_miRNA from 1 species
GGUGUACUCCCUCCGUUCCGAAUUACUUGUCUUUGAUUUGUCUAGAUACGGAUGUAUCUAGCACUAAAAUGAGUCUAGAUACAUCCGUAUCUAGAUAAAUCCAAGACAAGUAAUUCGGAACGGAGGGAGUAGAUC